UUCAAUUGUAUCCAUUUAUAUAGCUCAGCUCUUUAAUUGUAUCCAUUUUUUGGGUUCUAAUUAGAUCUCUUCAACAACUGCAGCAGUAUAUCUCAGGUAAAGAUGAAAACCCUUUUUGUAAUAUUUUUUUUUGGGAUUUCUGUGUUUGGAAUUGAGUUAUAGUUGUUUGUUUUGUAUUUUUUGUGUUAUGUGAUAAUUGUUUUUGAGAUUGACUUGUAUGGUACUAGUUUUAGCCUUUUUUGAGCUGCAUUUUUUGUUUAUCAAUGGGAUAUGUAGUUUGGAAAUGUGUAGGUUUCUACAGAUGAUUAGUGUAUAUGCAAGCAAGAAUUUGAAUUGAUGUGUUGAUGGUGACUUUUGCAUACCCAUUUGAUGUUUUUUUCCUCUGUCGUUUGGUAGAUACUGAAUUUGGAGUGAUGUGGAUUUUCAGUUACCCAUUUGGAAAAUUUGGUUGAAGUGACAGGAGGGAUGGCUUGGGUUUAGCAACAAGGUGAAAGGUAUUUAGAGGUGUUUAGAGUUAUGGGGGAUCAAGUAUUGGUAUCAGUAGAUGAGAUGUUAGGAUCAGGGUCUGAUACGAAUCGGCAAGUAUUGGAAUCGGUACGUGAGAUGUUAGGAUCAGGACUUGAUUCAAAUGAUCAGCAGGUUACAGUAGUACCCAGUUUGAAUGGUGUGUUGAUUGACCAGCCUUUAGCGAUUGGGCAAGAGUUCCCGGAUGUUGAUACUUGUAGAAGGACUUUGAAAGAGAUAGCGAUAUCGUUGCAUUUUGAAAUUCGAAUAGUAAAGUCAGAUAGGAGUAGAUUCAUAGCUAAGUGCUCCAAAGAGGGGUGUCCGUGGCGUGUUCAUGUGUCGAAAUGUCCAGGAGUUCCUACAUUUACGAUAAGGACUCUUCAUGGUGAGCAUACAUGUGAGGGGGUUCAGAGCCUUCACCAUCAGCAAGCAUCGGUGGGUUGGGUUGCAAGAUCAGUUGAAUCACGGGUGAGGGAUAAUCCUCAGUAUAAACCAAAGGAGAUUUUGCAGGAUAUCCGGAGUCAACAUGGGGUUGCUGUGUCUUAUAUGCAAGCAUGGCGAGGAAAGGAGCGCAGCAUGGCUGCUUUACAUGGAACCUUUGAAGAAGGUUAUCAGCUUCUUCCUGCAUAUUGUGAACAGAUAAGGAAGACUAAUCCAGGGAGCAUUGCAUCAAUUGCCACUGGACAGGAGAAUUGUUUCCAGCGACUGUUUAUCUCAUAUCGUGCAGCAAUUUAUGGAUUUUUAAAUGCUUGCCGUCCACUUUUGGAACUUGAUAGAGUUCAUUUAAAAGGGAAGUACCUGGGUUUGUUAUUUUGUGCUGCAGCUGUUGAUGCUAAUGAUACGUUGUUUCCUUUGGCAAUAGCUGUUGUCGAUGUGGAAAGUGAUGAGAACUGGAUGUGGUUUAUGUCGGAGCUCCGCAAACUUCUGGGUGUAAAUACGGACAGUAUGCCAAGACUUACUAUACUUUCUGAGAGAUCAGCUGGUAUGGUUGAGGCAGUUGAGACUCAUUUUCCAACUGCAUUUCAUGGUUAUUGCCUGCGUUAUAUCAGUGAGAACUUUCGAGAUACAUUUAAGAACUCGAAAUUAGUGAACAUUUUUUGGAAUGCAGUGUAUGCACUAACCACAUCUGAAUUUGAGAGCAAAGUCUCCGAGAUGGUAGAUAUUUCACAAGAUGUGCUACAAUGGUUUCACCAUUACAAUCCGCAGCAGUGGGCUGUUGCAUUUUUUGAAGGGUUACGAUAUGGUCAUUUUUCACUGGGGAUCACAGAAGUGUUGUAUAACUGGGCACUAGAGUGUCAUGAACUUCCUGUUGUGCAGAUGAUGGAGCACAUCCGCCAACAAGUAACAUCAUGGUCUAAUGAUCGCCGAAAUAUGGGCAUGAGGUGGACCUCAAUACUCGUGCCAUCUGCUGAAAAGAGAAUAUCAGAAGCAAUUGCUGAUGCUCGCUGCUAUAAAGUUCUACGAGCAAAUGAAAUUGAAUUUGAGAUUGUAUCUACUGAGAGGACAAAUAUUGUGGACAUACGAAGUCGUGUGUGCUCAUGUCGCCGUUGGCAACUCUUCGGUGUGCCGUGUGCACACGCUGCUGCUGCACUUAUCUCUUGUGGGCAGAAUGCCCAGUUAUUUGCUGAGCCUUGUUUCACGGUCCACAGUUAUCGUGAAACCUAUUCACAGAUGAUAUAUCCAAUUCCUGAUAGGAGCCUGUGGAAUGAGGCUGGUGAGGGUACAGACGGUGGGGGAGCAAAUGUUGAUAUUAUAAUUCGACCACCAAAAACCCGACGUCCUCCUGGCAGGCCCAAAAAGAAGGUUCUUCGCAUAGAGAGUUUCAAGCGUCCAAAGAGAGUCGUUCAAUGUGGUCGCUGCCAUAUGUUGGGACAUUCUCAGAAAAAAUGCUCUUUGCCUAGUUAAUCCUUGGUUAGUUGUCAGCUUUCUUUGCUUAUGCAGAAAACUUUCAUUAAAGAGUCUCAAGUUGUAUGUAUUUUAGUAAUGGCUUAGUCAUGAGAUUGUUACUUGGCCUCUGCCUUAUCAGUUCUGCAGUUGUCUUUGAAUAUAUCAGGAACAUAUUGUGUACCUUGUACUUCAUAAACUAUAUGGCUAAUUGAGUUUCCAUCGAAUUGUAUCAAAGAAAGCUUUUUUCAUGUGGUUCCUCUUCCAUAUUUGUGAUUGUUUUAUCUAAGCUUGGGUUUCAGAUACCGGAUGCUUGAAAAAAAAAAAAAGAAAGAGUUCAGUGGUCUCUAGUGCCGAGUUUCUUAAAGGCUUCUUUAUUGUUCAUAUUCUGUGCUUCAAUAUUUCUGUAUCGUAAAAUACUGCCCAUCUUAUAUGACUAGAAGAUCUCUAGAGGUAUUGUCCUUCAGUUUCUUACGGCGAAUUUGACAGAGUUUGGUUUUGAAUUGUGCUUAUAAUUGGCUGGCCUUAUACCAGAUCACUUCUUGGUUGAAGAAGGAAGACAUUAACAUUCAUAUCGACAGGUGAGUCAAAAAUUAAAAUAAAAUAUCACACUUGACUAUCUUAUGACUCCACACUUGAUUCACUUUUGUGCUCGUAGAAGGUGGCAGGUAUCUGGUCGAAUAGUCGAGUUGUCCACGUAACUGACCCAGAUACCACUUU
rnacentral:lncRNA from 1 species